UUAACACAUGCAAGUCGAGGGGCAGCAUGGUCUUAGCUUGCUAAGGCUGAUGGCGACCGGCGCACGGGUGAGUAACACGUAUCCAACCUGCCGUCUACUCUUGGCCAGCCUUCUGAAAGGAAGAUUAAUCCAGGAUGGCAUCAUGAGUUCACAUGUCCGCAUGAUUAAAGGUAUUUUCCGGUAGACGAUGGGGAUGCGUUCCAUUAGAUAGUAGGCGGGGUAACGGCCCACCUAGUCAACGAUGGAUAGGGGUUCUGAGAGGAAGGUCCCCCACAUUGGAACUGAGACACGGUCCAAACUCCUACGGGAGGCAGCAGUGAGGAAUAUUGGUCAAUGGGCGAUGGCCUGAACCAGCCAAGUAGCGUGAAGGAUGACUGCCCUAUGGGUUGUAAACUUCUUUUAUAAAGGAAUAAAGUCGGGUAUGCAUACCCGUUUGCAUGUACUUUAUGAAUAAGGAUCGGCUAACUCCGUGCCAGCAGCCGCGGUAAUACGGAGGAUCCGAGCGUUAUCCGGAUUUAUUGGGUUUAAAGGGAGCGUAGAUGGAUGUUUAAGUCAGUUGUGAAAGUUUGCGGCUCAACCGUAAAAUUGCAGUUGAUACUGGAUGUCUUGAGUGCAGUUGAGGCAGGCGGAAUUCGUGGUGUAGCGGUGAAAUGCUUAGAUAUCACGAAGAACUCCGAUUGCGAAGGCAGCCUGCUAAGCUGCAACUGACAUUGAGGCU
rnacentral:rRNA from 1 species